rnacentral:rRNA from 1 species
UACAGAGGUCUCAACCGUUGUUCGGAUUCAUUGGGCGUAAAGGGUGCGUAGGCGGCGGGGUAAGUCAGGUGUGAAAUCUCGGGGCUCAACCCCCGAAACUGCACUUGAUACUGCCUCGCUUGAGUACUGGAGAGGAGACUGGAAUUUACGGUGUAGCAGUGAAAUGCGUAGAUAUCGUAAGGAAGACCAGUGGCGAAGGCAGCUCGCUGGGACGGUACUGACGCUGGAGACGCGAAAAGCGGUGGGGAGCAA